rnacentral:tRNA from 1 species
GCCCGGGUGGUGAAAUUGGUAGACACAGGAGACUUAAAAUCUCCCGCUGCUAACGCGGCGUGCCGGUUCGAUUCCGGCCUCGGGCACCA